AUGAUCCAAUUUGAUUAUCGCAAAACUCGCUGAUCUGAUUUCAAGGACAGGAAAAAAGUGUUUAUUUGAUCGAUAAAGUGUGUGAGUCAAUGCCGUGGACAAGCGUUGCGUAACAAUAAAAAAACUUCAUAGAUGAUACUAAUUGUUUUCCUAAAAAUUUCUGCCCUAAAAGAAUACUUGGAUAAUUAAAAAUGCAACUUUAAUAGGACUUGGUGAAUCUGUUUUUCCCAUAUCUUACUGUAAGCGUUUUAGGGGUAAUGGUCAUUGGACACAUAUUGUUGUACUUACAUACGUUACAGACUUAGUAUUUUAUUUUGUCGAUUCUAGCUUUGUGUAAAAUUGUGAGGAAGCACUCCGAACUGCCGCAAGUUAAAUAGAGCUUAUAAUGUACUUGUAUCACAACUGGAGCUAUAUAAUGGAUAUUACUAACAAAAUUCGACAACGUAUUAAAAAAUAUAUUGAGUAUGCAACAUACACUCAACACGGCUCAACGAUUUCUCCAUUGAGUGAAGCGCUUGAAGCCUCGUGCGACUAACUAACCAUACUCGUAAUGGCUGAUUAAAUAUUCAAAAACAUCCCCCCGUAAUCAACGCAACCCUUUGUCAAGUGACAAAUUAACUUAGGUCCCUCGUGUCUGGGCUUGUCACCCUUUUACGCUGAAAAAACUAAAAUGAAGGGACGCGGGAGGGACCUUUUUAUUUUUGGACUGCAACCACAAUACUGGUUUGAUUACAAUCACGAAUGUGGUGAACAAUAAGUUACAGUCCACGCAAAAUUAUACGUAUCCAGAAAUUAAGAAUUAUAAAUAUAGCAUGAGACAAGAGACAAAAAGACACAAAUCGUGGAGAUUGGCAGCAAGCUCUGUCAUCUCUAAUGUCUCGUCGACAAUAACAAGGCGUGCUCUGUUGCUUUCUUUAAGAAUGAACCCAUUCAGGUCGUCGUCUGCAGCACAGCCGUUUGUCCCAUACAACUUAGAUAAAGUAAUAUCUUUCGUUGGAGCACAAAUUUAAAAGAUAGACGACCCUUUUAUGUCCUAUUGAAGGAGAAAUUAGUGUAUUGUCACUUUCUAAAGCUCAAGGUUCGGAAGCUAGAGUUACAAUAGAGCUGUUUUAAUACUCGUGUAUGUAGAAGAGUCUUUAAUGUUCGCUUAAGUCAUUAACAUUAUUCUGACGCCUUAUAGAGCGAACAAAUUCAAAUUGAAUUUCUUUUCUAAUGAAGUUAAUAUUAGAAGCAAAUAUAUACUAGAUGCAGUACCUAACUGGAUACUAAUAAAAUAAUACAUCGUUAUUUUAAGCUAAAGUCUAACUUUGGCUAACGGGUAAUCACUACGAGGAGAAGAUGGACUUUUUUGAGCCCGUACCGAACUGAGACGAACCAUAAGCUUCUCUGUUCAGUUAUAGCUUAAGAAAGCUUAUUAUAAAGGUUUUGCAGCUUUCAGUCAGAUCUCUUCAUAAGAGAAAUACUGUAAUAUUUGACUGGAACAAACGAGGCUAUUUGCCCACCAAUAUCAACCAAAAAACCAUGCCAGGCACAGCAUAGCGCUGUGGUUUUUGCUCGAAAUAUGAUGCCGCGUACAUAACUUAUCUUGGACGUAUAGCUGGCAAAUCUGCACCAUACAAAACUCAAAUAUAUGCGAAUAUCGAGAUCGAUGUGAGGAGCAGAUGCUCUGCUGCCGCUGCAAGGCUCGAGUCUCGUUUAAGGAAAUAUUAGUCGUGACUCUCAGUAAAUAAGGUACAGUAUUGUUUAAACUUUUAACUCAUAUAAGCGAACAGACCGACGGGAGUCGAAUAUUUAUACAUUCCGCGGUUCGAUCGUAGAUUUAUCCAUAUGGAUGUAACCGUGAAAGUCCUUUUAGAAAAUAAAGCAUAAUAGAGUCAUUUUGAAAAUAUAUUGGAAUAUUUAUUUUAAUUAAUAACGUAAUGCUACGUUGAA